GAGAGGGCAAUAACAAUGACACUUUUUUUCCAUACACUACAUAGUUGGACUACUUUUAGGGGGAAAAAAUUGUAACUACGGUUCAUGAAUGGAAGAAAUGUGUGUGCUGAAGAUAGCCAGCUUUCCCAUCUUUUACUUAAAAGAUAACGUGUCAUUUAAAGUAGGAGCUGCUACAAUGUGCAAAUCACCGGUCCUUUUUCUCCGAGCAGGUGACACAGUUGUCGUCAUAAGAGACGGGAUGAUGGCUAACGGAGCCGUGUUGGCUGAAGUGGUAGUUGUGGGGGCAACAGUGCUGGUGGUUGUUAAUCUUGAUGGGAACAUGUACUCCAGACCUAAACACUGACUGCACGUUGAUUUGUUUGAGCUCGAGUUGAUAGUUUCACCAUCGCCCACGAACACAUCACUAUUCACAGAGUCGCUGGGGAGAAAAAUAUUUGAAAAACAAUAAGUAUUUCGGAAAACAUUUGCUGGAUAAAGAGAGGCAGUGAAUAAGAAAUGAAUUUCAAGACUUAGACUUGUCACAUUUUGGUGUCUGAUAUAUCCUAUCUCAAUCUUUUUGUAGCAAGGUAUGAUCACUAUGGUGAUUGAGACAACACCAAAUUUUCCCAAUGUCUUGUUAAACUUUUUUACUUACAGACCUUAAAAGAGGUUUGCAGACAACUCGUGUUGUGACACUUUCUAAAAUCUUGGUAUUAUCAGGUGGGAGGGAUUUCUUAUUAUCUUACAAUUCGGUUUCCUUACACACACCGAUUCUGGAGUAAUAAUAAAAUGAGUUUAAAGAUAUCAAA